UCGCACGAAGAAGCAGGAGCAAUCUUGUGAGUAAAGUGGCGUACGGGUGAGUAACACGUGGAUCAUCUACCUUCUAGUGGGGCAUACCUCUGGGAAACCGGAGAUAAUUCCGCAUAAGCUCGUAAGAGGAAAGCAGCAAUGCGCUGGAAGAGGAGUCCGCGGCUGAUUAGCUAGAUGGCGGGGUAACGGCCCACCAUGGCGAAGAUCGGUAGCCGGCCUGAGAGGGCACACGGCCACACUGGCACUGAAACACGGGCCAGACUCCUACGGGAGGCAGCAGUGGGGAAUCUUGCACAAUGGAGGCAACUCUGAUGCAGCGACGCCGCGUGAGCGAUGAAGCCCUUCGGGGUGUAAAGCUCUUUCGACGGGAAAGAUGAUGACGGUACCCGGAGAAGAAGCUGCGGCUAACUACGUGCCAGCAGCCGCGGUAAUACGUAGGCAGCGAGCGUUGUUCGGAAUUACUGGGCGUAAAGAGUGUGUAGGCGGUGUUCCAAGUCUGGUGUGAAAUCUCCCGGCUUAACUGGGAGGGUGCGCCGGAAACUGGAAUGCUCGAGGGUGGGAGAGGUAAGCGGAAUUCCUGGUGUAGCGGUGAAAUGCGUAGAUAUCAGGAGGAACACCUGUGGUGUAGACAGCUUACUGGACCACUUCUGACGCUGAGACACGAAAGCGUGGGUAGCAAACAGGAUUAGAUACCCUGGUAGUCCACGCCCUAAACGAUGCAUACUUGGUGUGAGCGAUUCAUUUCGUUCGUGCC
rnacentral:rRNA from 1 species